UUGAGGUUUGGUUUGGAUGGAGGCCAGUGAAUUCAGGGUGUAGAAUAGAAGCAACACACUGUGAUCAACAGGGCUUCCAUCCAGAACAAGGUAAGACUUCAGAUCGCAGAGCUCCAGGAGCCAAAUCAAGGAGCAGCCAUCACAGGGCCAUCAUGGAGCUUGGUGAUCAUCCAAUGAAGGUACAUGAGCAGCUUUGGAGAGCUGGCUUCUAAAUCUUCAAGAGC
rnacentral:lncRNA from 1 species